rnacentral:rRNA from 1 species
UACAGGGGGGGCAAGCGUUGUUCGGAAUUAUUGGGCGUAAAGAGCUCGUAGGCGGUCUGUCGCGUCGAAUGUGAAAACCCGGGGCUCAACCCCGGGCCUGCAUUCGAUACGGGCAGACUAGAGUUCGGUAGGGGAGUCUGGAAUUCCUGGUGUAGCGGUGAAAUGCGCAGAUAUCAGGAGGAACACCGGUGGCGAAGGCGGGACUCUGGGCCGAUACUGACGCUGAGGAGCGAAAGCGUGGGGAGCAAACAGG